GAGCAUCUGCAGCUUCUCUGGGCAGCCUGUUCCAGCAUUCACCACUUCACCCUGGCAAGAACUUUACCCUGGUAUCCAAAGGAAUAUGAGCUGGAACUAAAAAAACUAAAAUAAAAUUAAAAAACCAAACCAAACCAACAACAAAAAACCACCUACACACAACACACCAGACAACUUCCCAAAUCAUGUGUUUUCUCUUUUGUUGCCUACGAUCAUAUCAUUCCUUUCAUAAAGUUACCAAGUUAUAGCCUGAAUAAUUCCACUCCCAGUCUUUUUUCCUACUCCAUAUGUCAGUUUGGUUUGUUGUUGUUUUUCCUUCAGUAAUGAUUUUAUAUUUUACUGAACCCUUACUGUAUCACUAACAUAAAAUGGAAAGUAAAUGUAUCAUCAGCUACUUUUGAGGUAAACAUACACUGCAUAAAACAAGAGAUGCGUCUCAGACAGUUUUGCCUCACAGUUUGUUGUUUCGUUUCUGCAAUACUCUCAGGUUAAAAUCAUAUCACUGUAUGGGUGCACUGGGCAUUAGAGAUGAAAUAUACAGUAUGACAUCACAUGGCAAGACUAGAGAAAGGGUUGCUGAUGAUAAAUAUAGACAUUCACUCACACCUCAGGGUCUUGGAUUCACAUCCCAUUUGAUAAGUGAGCUUCUAAAUGUGAACUGUGACGCAGGUCAAGUCUCUCAUUUCUACUCAGUGUGUAGAUGGUAUUUGUGGUGGUCAUUGUGAAUAGGGCCCAAAGAUGAUAUCAGAAUAUAAAAAGGAAUCAUAAAUGCUAUUUCCUCAGAGAAAAAAAACGAUGGUAAUAAUGCAAUAAGCAAGCUCUGUAACGCAUACAACAUUUAAAGAGAGCUAUUUUAGAUAUUUUAAUAAACCUUAAAGGAUAUAAAAGUGUUUACAAUGCCUGUAUUUUGUUAUCAGUUAUAGGAAGUGAAAUAGUUGCCUUCCCUCCCUUUCGUGUUGGUUAGUGAUGAUUUUAGUGUUGAGGAAAGUAGUUAUUCUGGCUCCUACCAAGAGCAGAACAGGGUUCUGACAAGAACAGUCUGUGAAGGAAGUAGAGGAAGUGGGUAAUACAGAAAUAACAGAAGCCGGAUAUCAUUAAUAGGUUACUCUUGAUUAAAAAAAGCAAAACAAAACAAACACAAAAAACCCACAAACAUUUAGGUAUGAAAUAACAUUAAAAGAAAAAAGUACAGUACUACAGGACUAGUUACUCCUGAAGUAGAAACAUAACUUCAGCAAGGUACCAAGCAGCCAGCAUUUCUACAGGUGGCCUUACAGCAGAAAGGCUUUGGAGCUUGAGACUAAUUCUAAGAGCAGUCUCAUUGCCCUGUCCUCCAAAACCUUGCAAUAGUCAGCUUUCCCUACCAUUCCACCAUUGGUAAGCAGCAAAAGGAAGUAUCAUUACUUCACACAUGGGUAAGCUUAGCAGAAAACCACAUUGCAUAGUUUAUGUUUUCAGAGUCAAGGAAUAGCAUCUAAUUAAAUAAAAUACCUUUGUUAUUCCAUUGCUUGGUCCAUCCUGUGGGAAAGGACUGUGGUUACAUGCAGUGUAACCAGCUCAACAAGUAUUGUUCUAGCUCCAAUGGAAUUUAGGGGAAGAACCUACCUCAUCACAAUACCAACCUGUUCUGUUUCCACCUACACAGCACAGAGCUAACUGUUAAGGCAAGGUCAGAUUGCAGGAAACAAUCGGAGACUAGAAAUAGAGCUUCUUAAAAGGGUAGAUGAAAAUCAGAGUUGCAAAUGGAAAACAUCCACUCAGUGACAGGUUGAAAAGGGCCCUCCAUAAAUACCUGACAGAUGAAAUACUAGGGAGUGAGAAGAGCUGAUGAAGUUAAAGGACAGCACUAGCCAAAAUGAAAUGGAUACAACCUGGCAAUGAAUAAAUUUAGUCUUGACUCACAGCCUUAGCUUUCAGAUAUGACAUAAUUGCAAAUACUUUUAUGAAAGGAUCCUGGUAACAAAAUAUUUGCAGCAGUGUAGAGAAAUCAGGAGGACCUGUGAAUGUAAGGACUAUUUUGACUUAAUAACAGUGUAGCAAUAGUAAAGACUUUGAUCUUAAUGUGCAGCAAAAUAUCAGCCUGCUUCUUUGUUCCACUUGUGUUUUGUUGGUUUUUUUUUUUUUUUUUUUUUCCAAGGGAUUUACGAUCUGUCAUCCUCUCCACCUGCAAAUAUAUCUCUUUUCUGAAAGUGCUACUAUUACUUUA